rnacentral:rRNA from 1 species
GGAUUCCCCUAGUACGGCGAGUGAAGCGGGAAGAGCUCAAAUUUUAAAUCUGGCGUUCUUCGGGCGUCCGAAGUUGUAAUCUAGAGAAGUGUUUUCCGUGUUGGACCCACCAUAGUUUACCUCGAACGGUACAUCAUAGAGGGUGAGAAUCCCGUGUGUUGGUGGGACGCCCAGUG